AGGAUGAAAAGAAUUCAAACAUGGACAAAAUUGCCCAAGACUCCAUAGAGUUAAAAGCUAAAAAAUAUUUGACGUAUAUGGCCACAGAGCAGCAGUUAUCUGCAUCAACACUUCAAGCUACUGCACGUUGUUGUUUCGUUCUUCUUCUUCGUUGGAUUUAUUGGCGGAUGGUGAAGCAUCACUCUCACCGCAUCACCGCCACCUAGUGGACAGCUGUGAGAAGACAGUAGAAGAAGUGCCUCUAUUAUACACAGGCUGCAAGAUGUCUCCACUUUACUGUCUUGGAUUGGGUAAGCAGACCUCUGUGAAUAUUAGAUGGGUUUUUUUCUAAGUUACUUCUAAUGACUUGCUGCUUUUAACGAAUAUGCUUCUGUUUUUUUUUAUUUUUAGUUUGGCUGACUUUUGCCUUCUAUACUGUCUCUGGUAAG